rnacentral:rRNA from 1 species
UACGGAAGGCAGCAGUGGGGAAUAUUGCACAAUGGGCGCAAGCCUGAUGCAGCCAUGCCGCGUGUAUGAAGAAGGCCUUCGGGUUGUAAAGUACUUUCAGCGGGGAGGAAGGCGGUGAAGUUAAUAGCUUCACCGAUUGACGUUACCCGCAGAAGAAGCACCGGCUAACUCCGUGCCAGCAGCCGCGGUAAUACGGAGGGUGCAAGCGUUAAUCGGAAUUACUGGGCGUAAAGCGCACGCAGGCGGUCUGUCAAGUCGGAUGUGAAAUCCCCGGGCUUAACCUGGGAACUGCAUUCGAAACUGGCAGGCUAGAGUCUUGUAGAGGGGGUAGAAUUCCAGGUGUAGCGGUGAAAUGCGUAGAGAUCUGGAGGAAUACCGGUGGCGAAGGCGGCCCCUGGGACAAAGACUGACGCUCAGGUGCGAAAGCGUGGGGAGCAAACAGGAUUAGGAUACC